AGAGAGAGAGAAACAACAAAGAAUCAAAGAAGAGAGACAGAAAAUUGAAAUGAAGGGUCGAUUUUGUUUGGAUAUCGUGAAUGAACUUUCUUCUUCUUCUUCGCCAUCCUCGUCUUCUUCAUCCUCUUCUUCCUCAU
rnacentral:ribozyme from 1 species